UGAGUACGAGCUGCUACGGCAGCGAAGUGGAUGAUGUCAAGCUUCCAAGAAAAGCCCUAUACCCGUUAAGGCAUGACGGCCUGUACCCGAAACCGACACAGGUGGGGUGGUAGAGAAUACCGAGGGGCGCGAGAUAACUCUCUCUAAGGAACUCGGCAAAAUGGCCCCGUAACUUCGGGAGAAGGGGUGCCACCGCGAGGUGGUCGCAGUGAAGAGGCCCAGGCGACUGUUUACCAAAAACACAGGUCUCCGCUAAGUCGCAAGACGAUGUAUGGGGGCUGACGCCUGCCCAGUGCCGGAAGGUUAAGGAAGCCGGUCAGCGUAAGCGAAGCUGGCGACUGAAGCCCCGGUGAACGGCGGCCGUAACUAUAACGGUCCUAAGGUAGCGAAAUUCCUUGUCGGGUAAGUUCCGACCCGCACGAAAGGCGUAACGAUCUGGGCGCUGUCUCGGAGAGAGGCUCGGCGAAAUAGAAUUGUCUGUGAAGAUGCGGACUACGUGCACCCGGACAGAAAGACCCUAUGAAGCUUUACUGUAGCUUGGUAUUGUGCUCGGGCUCUGAAUGCGCAGGAUAGGUGGGAGGCUUUGAUCCAUUGCUUGUGGGUGAUGGUGAGCCACUGGUGAGAUACCACUCUUUCAGAGCUAGGGUUCUAACGGUCACCCGUUAUCCGGGGACCGGACAGUAUCAGGUGGGCAGUUUGACUGGGGCGGUCGCCUCCUAAAAGGUAACGGAGGCGCGCAAAGGUUCCCUCAGGCUGGUUGGAAAUCAGCCGACGAGUGCAAAGGCAGAAGGGAGCUUGACUGUGAGACCAACAAGUCGAACAGGGACGAAAGUCGGCCUUAGUGAUCCGACGGUUCUGAGUGGAAGGGCCGUCGCUCAACGGAUAAAAGUUACUCUAGGAUAACAGGCUGAUCUCCCCCAAGAGUUCGCAUCGACGGGGAGGUUUGGCACCUCGAUGUCGGCUCAUCGCAACCUGGGGCUGAAGUCGGUCCCAAGGGUUGGGCUGUUCGCCCAUUAAAGCGGUACGCGAGCUGGGUUCAGAACGUCGUGAGACUGUUCGGUCCAUAUCCGGUGCAUGCGCAGGAACAUUGAGAGGAUUUCUCCCUAGUACGAGAGGACCGGGAGGAACGCACCUCUGGUGUACCAGUUAUCGUGCCAACGGUAAACGCUGGGUAGCCAUGUGCGGAGCGGAUAACCGCUGAAAGCAUCUAAGUGGGAAGCCCACCUCAAGAUGAGUGUUCCCAUGGCAU
rnacentral:rRNA from 1 species